UACGUAGGGUGCGAGCGUUACUCGGAAUUACUGGGCUUAAAGCGUGCGCAGGCGGUUCGUUGUGUCCGAUGUGAAAGCCCCGGGCUUAACCUGGGAAUGGCAUUGGAAACUGGCGAGCUUGAGUGCGGCAGAGGGGGGUGGAAUUCCGCGUGUAGCAGUGAAAUGCGUAGAGAUGCGGAGGAACACCGAUGGCGAAGGCAGCCCCCUGGGUCGACACUGACGCUCAGGCACGAAAGCGUGGGGAGCAAACAGG
rnacentral:rRNA from 1 species